rnacentral:rRNA from 1 species
CUCUACGGGAGGCAGCAGUGGGGAAUAUUGGACAAUGGGCGCAAGCCUGAUCCAGCCAUGCCGCGUGAGUGAAGAAGGCCUUCGGGUUGUAAAGCUCUUUUGUCCGGAAAGAAAAGCAUUCGGUUAAUAACCGGGUGUCAUGACGGUACCGGAAGAAUAAGCACCGGCUAACUUCGUGCCAGCAGCCGCGGUAAUACGAAGGGUGCAAGCGUUACUCGGAAUUACUGGGCGUAAAGCGUGCGUAGGUGGUUCGUUAAGUCUGAUGUGAAAGCCCUGGGCUCAACCUGGGAAUGGCAUUGGAUACUGGCGGACUGGAGUGCGGUAGAGGAUGGCGGAAUUCCCGGUGUAGCAGUGAAAUGCGUAGAGAUCGGGAGGAACAUCCGUGGCGAAGGCGGCCAUCUGGACCAGCACUGACACUGAGGCACGAAAGCGUGGGGAGCAAACAGGAUUAGAUACCCUGGUAGUCCACGCCCUAAACGAUGCGAACUGGAUGUUGGGAGCAACUAGGCUCUCAGUAUCGAAGCUAACGCGUUAA